rnacentral:rRNA from 1 species
UACGUAGGGUGCGAGCGUGUCCGGAAUUAUUGGGCGUAAAGAGCUCGUAGGCGGUCUGUCGCGUCUGCUGUGAAAACUCAGGGCUUAACCCUGAGCUUGCAGUGGGUACGGGCAGACUAGAAUUCGGUAGGGGAGACUGGAAUUCCUGGUGUAGCGGUGAAAUGCGCAGAUAUCAGGAGGAACACCGGUGGCGAAGGCGGGUCUCUGGGCCGAUAUUGACGUGAGGAGCGAAAGCGUGGGGAGCAAACAGG